rnacentral:misc_RNA from 1 species
GAAAUGCGAUAAGUAAUGUGAAUUGCAGAAUUCAGUGAAUCAUCGAAUCUUUGAACGCACAUUGCGCCCCUGGGCAUUCCUAGGGGCAUGCCUGUUCGAGCGUCAUUGUAAAAAUCUCAAGCUCAGCUUGGUGUUGGGUGUUUGCCCCUCCCCCCCACAAGGGGGGGAGAAGGGCACGCCUGAAAAUCAGUGGCGGUGCCACGAUGGCCUCAAGCGUAGUAGACUCUCUCUCGCUUUGGAUGGUUCGUUGUGCGGUUCACCUGUCUAACCUAAAAUCUUAGAAAGGUUUGACCUCGGAUCAGGUAGGGAUACCCGCUGAACUUAA